CGUCCGCUGCCUCGGGCCGUGCGGACCUCGGGCUCCCGACUCACCGCCCCCCCACCCCCACCGCCACCUCCCGCGUCCGGACUUCCGUCUUCGGUUAAACGGUCGCUCUCGCCCGCCGCCCCGAUGGGGACCCCCUUCCCACGGGGGCUCGGGAUGGGGGCGGAGGGCGCGUGACAGCCUGCAUGUGCCCAUCCCGGGCUCGUUAAAGGUCAUGUUUCCGAGCGAUAAACUGAGUCUUUCAGAACCCCCUUUUUCCUUCGUCUCCCAGACUGAUAUGAUAACCUCAGUUCCCACACAGCCAUAAGAAACUUGCCAUUAGUCACAUGGUUCUAAUCGGGGAAAGAUCUUGCACAUCUUUUCUUUACUCGUAUGGAUUUAGCAUUUUAUACCGGGGGUUGCUUUAGGAGUCCCUAACCUUUUUUUGGGGGGGGAGGGGCUCAUGAACCCCUUUACCAGUCUGAAACCUUUGGACCCCUUCACAGAAUAAUGUUUUUAAAUGCAGAAAAAUAAAACACAUAGGAAGCCGAUUGUAUUGGCAUUGAACUUAAACCUUUCUUUUUAAAGUUUACGGACCCGAGGUUAAUACGCUCUGCCCGAAGUCCUGAGGAUUACUGCUACCUUCCUGUACCGCCUUGCAGGCGUAUUUCAAUUCCGUUCAGCCCACGUUGAAGCGCCUUCUGUGUGCGCGCAAGGCUCCGCGCUGGCUUGAUUUUCUAUUCCUAAUAAGGGAGAUCAACUAUCAAGCUUUUUCUGUACUCCAGUUGUGAGAUGAUGAGGGCCUGCAACUGGUGGCAGUGUUGGAGGAGAGAAGAGAACAUAAACAAUAGAUGUUAUAUGAAGGCUAAUCCUGUUUGUUUUAAAUGAGCAACUUAUUGGGCAAGAUUACUAUUAGCUGGAAAUCAUUUGCAUAACCCUGCCUUCUAGACAAAAUUGCAUCAAAAGUUUUCCCUACAGAGAGCCAGUUGGUGAACAUUUGCCUGCAUGCCUCUUCCCCUCUCCCUGCCCCCCACUGCAGUUUCUAAACCAGGCCUGGAUUAAGUAGAUGAGAAAACUGAGGCCCAGAGAGGUCAGUGAUCUGCCUGGCCAGAGGAACACAGCAAGUCUUUGGGGAAUUCAAACCGAAGUCUUCUUUACUCUGGCCACCACCAGACCUGUGCUAAUCCCUGGGAGAAUACAUUCGCAUAGUCCAAUAAGAACAAAGCAAGGAGUAUCUCACAGAGUUAAGAGUUUUCUUUACUCUCAGGAUAAAGGAUGUAAAUUUCUGAACAAUUGCAGACAGAAGAAACACCAUCCAGUCAUUUUCUAGAGGCUCAACCUUAAUUCAGACUAACCUAUAGUUGGAACCUGGAGACUGGGUCUAUUGGAAAAGGAUUCCCUACCUAGUGCUGCUGACCAACCCCUUGGCUGAAAGGAAUUGACAGCUGGAUCUACUUAUCACAUCUGAAGAAGACUCCGACCCCUGAAUGAAUGGCCAGACACACUACCAACGACACGGACACCAAGUUUAGCCUGACCAGGAAAAAGAAGCAGAGGACAUCAGUGUAGACUCCUGUUCCAUGCCCCAACACGAUUUUUGGUCAUCAACGAAUUCCAGAAUUUGUCUUGACCAAGAGGAGGGAAUGAUAACUACAAAUUUACUGUGAACUGACUGAUUCCCCAUCCAGUCCCCCUACCCAGGCAGAUGAAUUGCUUGGGACUGACUCUCAUGGUCAUUUCCAGACUCUCAAUGGACUUAUGGACCUCCCCCACCUUCCCCCAGGCAACUUAUCCCCUCCCAAUGUUUCCCCACCUUACUCCCUGGACUUUAUGAUUAUUAUGUGAAA